GAUGAACGCUGGCGGCGUGCCUAAUACAUGCAAGUCGAGCGAACAGAUGAGGAGCUUGCUCCUCUGACGUUAGCGGCGGACGGGUGAGUAACACGUGGAUAACCUACCUAUAAGACUGGGAUAACUUCGGGAAACCGGCGCUAAUACCGGAUAAUAUAUUGAACCGCAUGGUUCAAUAGUGAAAGACGGUUUUGCUGUCACUUAUAGAUGGAUCCGCGCCGCAUUAGCUAGUUGGUAAGGUAACGGCUUACCAAGGCAACGAUGCGUAGCCGACCUGAGAGGGUGAUCGGCCACACUGGAACUGAGACACGGUCCAGACUCCUACGGGAGGCAGCAGUAGGGAAUCUUCCGCAAUGGUCGAAAGCCUGACGGAGCAACGCCGCGUGAGUGAUGAAGGUCUUCGGAUCGUAAAACUCUGUUAUUAGGGAAGAACAAAUGUGUAAGUAACUAUGCACGUCUUGACGGUACCUAAUCAGAAAGCCACGGCUAACUACGUG
rnacentral:rRNA from 1 species